ensembl:lincRNA
GUGAGGUCUUACUGAGCACUGCGUGCCAGUGGAAAGAAGCAUUUUGAAAGGUAAACUGGUGGGGGCGAUGGGGUUCAGAUAUUCUCUGAGAUCAGGAACGUCACUGCUCUCCCCGGGAAGCUGCUUUAGGCACAGUGCUCCUGCCUGACUCGGGAAGACUGCUCUCCUGGCCUCCUGGAAGUCAUAUGGGAAACAGCUCCUCCUGCCCCACCCACCUGCUGCAUGAAGUAUGGAGGCAGAUAUACAUGAAAAAUAAAUACUGAAGAAAUUCCAAUGAAGACUGUGGCCUGGGAUCUCCUCUUGCUCCUUCUCUUUCUGCCUCUUGACCAAUGCAGGUGCUUUCCCAGUGGUUCUGCCUGAUGUGCCAUGCUCUUGUUUCUAAGACUCUCUGAACCUUUCUGAGUCUUCUCUUGUGGUUGCAUCUGACUGACCAUCACAUAAAAGAACAAAGAAUGGUGAGUGUCUUUUCUCAGGAGAGGAAUUAACUAAUAUACUGAAUGCUUUAUAG